UCCAUCACUUAGCACAUCCUUCAACUCAGUUCUUGGCCGGAGGGUGGUAGAUCGGAGUCGGGGACCCAUACGUGGGCGUGGGUGAACUGUAUUUAGGCGUUGGGGGGUGGUAUUCUGGCUGAGGUUUGGGCUCCGGCUUUGGCUUAGGAGGCACUGGUUUCUUGUGGAAGUGGUCAAAGAAGUGGUGGUGCUCAUGAUCCUUGUGGAAGUGGUCAAGCCAGUGCUUCUUGUUGAACAAGUCUUUAGCAGGAGGAUGGUAGAUUGGAGUAGGAGACCCAUAUGUAGGUGUUGGGGGGUGGUACUCUGGCUGCGGCUUGGGCUCUGGCUUCGGUGGAACAGGCUUCUUGUGGAAGUGGUCGAAGAGUUGGUGGUGGUCGUGGUCCUUGUGGAAGUGACCAAGCAACUUGGCAAACAAGUGCCUAGCUGGAGGGUGGUAGAUUGGUGUAGGAGACCCGUAUGUGGGUGUUGGCGACCCAUAUGUUGGCGUUGGGGGAUGGUACUCUGGCUGAGGCUUGGGCUCUGGUUUGGGCUGCGGCUUAGGUUCCGGCUUCGGCUUUGGCGGUAUGGGCUUCUUGUGGAAGUGGUCGAAGAAGUGGUGGUGAUCGUGGUCCUUGUGGAAGUGACCAAGCAACUUGGCAAACAAGUGCCUAGCUGGAGGGUGGUAGAUCGGUGUCGGAGACCCGUAUGUUGGUGUUGGGGGAUGGUACUCUGGCUGAGGCUUAGGCUCUGGCUUCGGCUGCGGCUUAGGUUCCGGCUUCGGCUUCGGCGGCAUGGGCUUCUUGUGGAAAUGGUCAAAGAAGUGGUGGUGGUCGUGGUUCUUAUGGAAGUGAUCAAACAAGUGCUUCUUGUCGAACAACUGCCUUGCUGGAGGAUGGUAGAUCGGAGUUGGGGAUCCAUAUGUGGGCAU
rnacentral:lncRNA from 1 species